AGCAGCCGCGGUAAUUCCAGCUCCAAUAGCGUAUAUUAAAGUUGUUGCAGUUAAAAAGCUCGUAGUUGAAUUUCGGGGUUAGCAGGUCGGUCGUGCCAUCGGUAUGAACUGGUCUCGCUGAUCCCUCCCUCUUGACGAACUGUGAUGCCAUUAAUUUGGUGUCGCAGGGAAUCAGGACUGUUACUUUGAAAAAAUUAGAGUGUUUAAAGCAGGCUCACGCUUGAAUACAUUAGCAUGGAAUAAUGAAAUAGGACGUUUGAUCCUAUUUUGUUGGCUUCUAGGAUUGACGUAAUGAUUAAUAGGGAUAGUUGGGGGCAUUAGUAUUCAAUUGUCAGAGGUGAAAUUCUUGGAUUUAUUGAAGACUAACUACUGCGAAAGCAUUUGCCAAGGAUGUUUUCAUUAAUCAAGAACGAAAGUUAGGGGAUCGAAGACGAUCAGAUACCGUCGUAGUCUUAACCAUAAACUAUGCCGACUAGGGAUCGGAUGAUGUUAAUUUUUAAUGACU
rnacentral:rRNA from 1 species